GAGGUUGGUAGCGCUCUGGGUAGGGAUUUCAGGGCUGUGGACACAGAAGUGAUAGCCAACACCCUACAUUGUCUCCAUCCCAGUGGUAACCCUGCUGGUUGCAGUCCUUGUAGAGGACCCAGCAAAUGUGUGGAUGUACCAGAUACUAAAGACAUUCAGAUGCUUCCCAGGGAUGCCAUCCUGGCCUCCAUCCGAGUGUGACUGUGUUAAUGAACUCCUCUCAUUCAGUCUUGAAGGCUUCUUGGGGGACAGAACCCAGAGAAAGGUCCCCAUACGUGCUGUUAACUCACUGUGCAUCCAGGAGCGAGCCACUUUGCCUGUGUCCCCAUCGCAAUGGUGAAGAAGUGAAGGGUUGGCCGGCCUCCCUAAGAU
ensembl:lncRNA